rnacentral:tRNA from 1 species
GGGCACGUGGCGGAAUUGGUAUACGCGCACGAUUCAGAAUCGUGUGCCGCAAGGAUUGAGGGUUCAAAUCCCUCCGUGCCCA